UGUUCUUUCCGUCUUCACAAUAAAUCUUGCUGUUGCUCACUGUUUGGGUCCGCAUCACCUUUAAGAGCUGGAACACUUGCCACGAAGGUCCUCCGGCUUCAUUCUUGAAUUCGGCCAGACUACGAACCCACCGGAAGGAAGAAACUCCGGACACAUCGGAAGGAACAAACUCUGGACCACGAACCCACCAGAGGGAAGAAACUCUGGACACACCAUUUUUGAGAGCUGUAACAGCGUGAAGGUCCACGACUUCAUUCUUGAGUGGUUAUAAACUGUUUUCACCUUCAAGAUUCUUGAGAGAUAACUACACAUACCCUUUGCCAUAGUGGGAAUGACUGUGUAGUAGUAACUGGAGGAGAAAGUUUCUUUGUACACAACUAUGCUUUGAUUUUCAAGAGGAGGAAUGAAAUUGCCUCGUAAAAUUACAGAGUUAAAUACAAUGUACUUAAGAGAUUAUGGCAUCAGAAACCCACAAUGUUAAAAAACGGAACUUUUGUAAUAAGAUUGAGGAUCAUUUCAUUGAUCUUCCUAGAAAAAAGAUCUCUAAUUUCACUAAUAAGAACAUGAAGGAG
rnacentral:lncRNA from 10 species